rnacentral:rRNA from 1 species
GCUCAGUAACACGUGGAUAACCUACCCUUAGGACCGGGAUAACCCUGGGAAACUGGGGCUAAUACUGGAUAGAUGAUUUUUCCUGGAAUGGUUUUUUGUUUAAAUGUUUUUUCGCCUAAGGAUGGGUCUGCGGCAGAUUAGGUAGUUGGUUGGGUAAUGGCUUACCAAGCCUAUAAUCUGUACGGGUUGUGAGAGCAAGAGCCCGGAGAUGGAACCUGAGACAAGGUUCCAGGCCCUACGGGGCGCAGCAGGCGCGAAACCUCCGCAAUGUGAGAAAUCGCGACGGGGGGAUCCCAAGUGCCAUUCUUAACGGGAUGGCUUUUCUUAAGUGUAAAAAGCUUUUGGAAUAAGAGCUGGGCAAGACCGGUGCCAGCCGCCGCGGUAACACCGGCAGCUCUAGUGGUAGCUGUUUUUAUUGGGCCUAAAGCGUUCGUAGCCGGUUUGAUAAGUCACUGGUGAAAUCCUGUAGCUUAACUGUGGGAAUUGCUGGUGAUACUGUUGAACUUGAGGUCGGGAGAGGUUAGAGGUACUCCUGGGGUAGGGGUGAAAUCCUGUAAUCCUAGGAGGACCACCUGUGGCGAAGGCGGCUCUCUGGUCUGCAACUGACGCUGAGGCUCGAAAGCAUGGGUAGCGAACAGGAUUAGAUACCCUGGUAGUCCAUGCCGUAAACGAUGAGUGCUAAGUGUUGGGAGGUUUCCGCCUCUCAGUGCUGCAGCUAACGCAUUAAGCACUCCGCCUGGGGAGUACGACCGCAAGGUUGAAACUCAAAGGAAUUGGCGGGGGAGCAC